rnacentral:rRNA from 1 species
CAGUAGCCGCGGGAAUACGUAGGUGGCAAGCGUUGUCCGGAAUUAUUGGGCGUAAAGGGUGCGUAGGCGGUUUGGCAAGUCUUAUGUGAAAUCUUCGGGCUCAACCCGAAGUCUGCAUGAGAAACUGCCGGGCUUGAGUAUGGGAGGGGUGAGUGGAAUUUCCGGUGUAGCGGUGAAAUGCGUAGAUAUUCGGAAGAACACCAGUGGCGAAGGCGGCUCACUGGCUCAUACUGGACGCUGAGGUGCGAAAGCGUGGGGAGCAAACAGGAUUAGAUACCCCUGUAGUCCCUGUCUCUUAUAC